rnacentral:rRNA from 1 species
CCUACGGGUGGCAGCAGUGAGGAAUAUUGGUCAAUGGACGGAAGUCUGAACCAGCCAUGCCGCGUGCAUGAAGACGGCUCUAUGAGUUGAAAACUGCUUUUGUACAAGGGUAAACCUGAAUACGUGUAUUCAGCUGAAAGUACUGUACGAAUACGGCUCGGCUAACUCCGUGCCAGGAGCCGCGGUAAUACGGAGGAUCCAAGCGUUAUCCGGAUUUAUUGGGUUUAACGGGUGCGUAGGCGGAUUGAUAAGUUUGAGGUGAAAUGUCCGGGCUUAACUCGGGAACUGCCUCUAAUACUGUUGAUCUAGAGAGUAGAUGCGGUAGGCGGAAUGUAUGGUGUAGCGGUGAAAUGCGUAGAGAUCAUACAGAACACCAAUUGCGAAGGCAGCUUACCAGUCUAUAUCUGACGUUGAGGCACGAAAGCGUGGGGAGCAAACAGGAUUAGAUACCCGGGUAGUC